ACAAUUGCCUGUAUUAUCCUAUAUGGUAACAUGCUGUGCAGGUUUGUAUUCUACAAGCAAUAGGCUAUACCUUAUAACCUAGGUGUGUUCUAAGCUAUACCAUACAGGUUUAUGUAAGUACACUGUGAAAUCUGCAUGGCAAACAUCAUUGCCUUAUGAUACAUUUCUCAAAUUUUCAGAACAUAUCCCUGUUGUUUAGCAGCACGUGAAUGUAUUUGAUUUAUUGUCUUGAUGUCCCUUUGCUUUCCCCAUGUGUUACCAUCAACUGCCUAAUGAAACAGCCUGGGAUUAUGUAAUGACUAACUUAGUGCUUUGAGUUUAAUUCUUUUUCAGCCACUGUGGUAUGUUGAUUACUAUAUUAAUAAUGUGUCUCCUUUAUGUGUUUUUAAAUAGUUACUUGGUCAUGAACUAUUUAUAAGCUUUGGAAACAUGAUUUCAUUUAUUCUGCAGGAUAACUUCAGGAAGUGGGUAUUAAUUCUCACUGUAUAAGUGAAGACAUUAAGCACCAGAGUUUAAGUAGCUUGAUCCACUGAAAGAGAUUCAACUGUGUGGAACCUAUGCCGCGGAGAAUUGCUUUCUGCCAUUGUUAUUGUCCAGCAGUUGCCGAAUAGCUCUGACCUGAGCAAAGCAGUGAAACGCGGUGCUGCUGAGUGGGUUGCCACUGCACCCUUUUCAACUACUCUAGUCUUGUGGAGAAAACACCCCUUCUAAAGUUUUUCUUCAUUGAAUACUGUCCCGCAGCUCCAGGGUACCAUAUAGAGUUUUCUUGUAUUUUAGAGUUACUGUUUUAUCAAAGUUUACCAGUCUUUUGUAUUACAUUUCUCCUGUCUAAAUCAACUGUGUGGUUUCUACUCAUUAUGGAUAUAGAUUGAUACAAACUCAAUAAAUAUUUUUGAAUGAAUAA